GCUAUUGUAAAACUUAUUUGAUUAAUAUAUUUGUUUAUUUAUUUGAAAAGUAAUUUAAUUAUUAAAGUAAUGUUUAAUAAAAUAGUAGUUUAAAUUAUAGUGUAUAAGUACUGUGAGGGAAAGUAUAAUUGUGAAAUAAUGUUUAUAGUAAAUUUUAAUAAUUGUACCUUGUGUAUUAGGGAAAAUUUAUAUAAAUUAUGCAAUUAGUAAUCUCGAAAUAAAAACAGCUAAUUCUAUACAAUUUUUUUUGUAGUAUAAAAAUGUUUAAUAUAGAAUUAAAGAUGAAAUAUCAGUCGAGUUUUGUUAUAUCUAGUUUUUUUAGAAGUAAAUUUAAUUUGAAUUUUAAGGUAUUUAAACUUAGAAUGUAAGUGUAGAAGGGAGAAGCUUUUUAUAUAUAAGGUGUAAAAUAGUAAUAAAUUUAUUUUAUUUUUGAAUUAGGCUUAAAAGUAGCUACAUUUUUAAAGUGUUUUAACUAGGUGAGAAAUAAAUAUAGUUUUUAUUAUUACUUUUAGUAGUUAUAGAAAAAUUAUUGUAAAUUAGUUUGAAUAAAAUAUAAUGAUUUUAUUAGUAGAAUUGUAAUAUUUAGAAAAAAUAUAGAAUGGUUAAAUAAUUAUAAAGGUAACGUGAAGAUAUAAAGGAACUCGACAAAUAAUUUCUUUGCCUGUUUAUCAAAAACAUGUCUGUUUGAAGAUAUAGGAAGUUUGGCCUGCCCACUGAUAGGUUUAAAGGGCCGCGGUAUUUUGACCGUGCAAAGGUAGCAUAAUCGUUAGGUUUUUAAUUGGAAUCUUGUAUGAAUGGUUGGACAAAGGGGAGUUUGUCUCUAUAUUUAAUUAUUGAAGUUAACUUUUAAGUGAAAAGGCUUAAAUAUAUUAAUAAGACGAUAAGACCCUAUAAAACUUAAUAUGAAUUUUUGUUUGAUUAAAUUUUUAUGUAGUAUAUAAUGAUUUGAUAAUUAGUUCGUGUUAUAUUGGGGCGAUAUAAAUAAAGUGAAUAUUAACUGUUUGAAAUUAGAACAAAUUAGUUGAUUAUAAAUUUAAAUGAUCCUAUUUAAAGAUUAUAAGUUUAAGUUACUUUAGGGAUAACAGCGUUAUUUUUUUUGAGAGUUCUUAUCGAAAGAAGAGUUUGCGACCUCGAUGUUGAAUUAAGAUGUCUA
rnacentral:rRNA from 1 species